GGGUUGUGAGGUUAAGCGACUAAGCGUACACGGUGGAUGCCCUGGCAGUCAGAGGCGAUGAAGGGCGUGCUAAUCUGCGAUAAGCGCCGGUAAGGUGAUAUGAACCGUUAUAACCGGCGAUACCCGAAUGGGGAAACCCAGUGUGACUCGUCACACUAUCAUUAACUGAAUCCAUAGGUUAAUGAGGCGAACCGGGGGAACUGAAACAUCUAAGUACCCCGAGGAAAAGAAAUCAACCGAGAUUCCCCCAGUAGCGGCGAGCGAACGGGGAGGAGCCCAGAGCCUGAAUCAGCAUGUGUGUUAGUGGAAGCGUCUGGAAAGGCGCGCGAUACAGGGUGACAGCCCCGUACACAAAAGCGCAUGUGCUGUGAGCUCGAUGAGUAGGGCGGGACACGUGGUAUCCUGUCUGAAUAUGGGGGGACCAUCCUCCAAGGCUAAAUACUCCUGACUGACCGAUAGUGAACCAGUACCGUGAGGGAAAGGCGAAAAGAACCCCGGCGAGGGGAGUGAAAAAGAACCUGAAACCGUGUACGUACAAGCAGUGGGAGCACAGGUUUACCUGUGUGACUGCGUACCUU
rnacentral:rRNA from 1 species